GUUUUAUCAGAGGAAGACAAAUAGUACUCAUUAUUUGCAUGUUUUGUUAAAGACUAUUAAGUUAAAGACUGAGUUAUUGUGCUUAGAUCAUCUUCUAUUUAAAAGAUUUGUUGUGAUAAUAAGCCACUUAAUAGAAGUUGCUGGAUACUUGAACUACCUUGCAGCAUUACAAGUAUUCACUGUUUUAAAUUUUAUACAAUAUAAGUCCCAGUGAAGAAAUUGGGAGUAAGACGGUGCAGGACGUCUUCCGCAUCUGUACGCUAUGUGGGAGGAAGACGGUGCAGGACGUCUUCCGCAUCUGUACACUAUGAACGAUUUACUCGUGUGAGCUCUUGCACAAUAUGAGCUCUCCUAUUUUUUAAACAGUGAGAGAGUUAGUAAAAGCGGUUUGAAAACUAUUGAAACCGCUCACAUGCAUGGCUACCAAGAGGUCAACUUUCAUCUAUGACACUUGGAGACAUCCCACAGGCUAAGCACCCCGGUUACUGAAGUGAAAGAGGCGAAAUAGAGAUGCAGGGAGUUAUGGAGUUGGUGAGAUAUCCCCGUCCCCCACAGCCACGGGACCAUCUGCAGAGAUGAUAAGACUCCCUAAUCGGAACUGCCUCCUUUGUCGUGGCGUGAAGCAGAUCCGUCUCACCUCUUUUCUCUACCUGAGUGGAACAACUGUAAUCCUGAUCUAUCCAUCCUGGAGACGUGGCUUCAGGUUAGAUAAAUCCUGUCGACUCCGAACUAGCCUCAAGGCAGCACUCACCAACGCCUUCCUGAAGACGGCAGGGGACUCCAGACUGUGGAAGUGCCCCAUUGUGUCUGUGGUAUGCAGAGGCUGUGUCAAGUUGUUGGUGGCCCUCCUCACUUGGGCCACGUUGCUGACCCAGCUCCUCAGCCACUCACAUUCAGGACGGGGACCACGCUGCGGCACACUCUGGUUGCAUCCUGUUGUUCGGGAGAAACCAGGCACUGGACUGGACUUCAACUAUAAAUGA
rnacentral:lncRNA from 1 species